rnacentral:rRNA from 1 species
AGCGAACGCUGGCGGCAGGCCUAACACACGCAAGUCGAACGAACCCUUCGGGGUUAGUGGCGGACGGGUGAGUAACACGUGGGAACGUGCCUUUAGGUUCGGAAUAACUCAGGGAAACUUGUGCUAAUACCGAAUGUGCCCUUCGGGGGAAAGAUUUAUCGCCUUUAGAGCGGCCCGCGUCUGAUUAGCUAGUUGGUGAGGUAAAGGCUCACCAAGGCUACGAUCAGUAGCUGGUCUGAGAGGAUGACCAGCCACAUUGGGACUGAGACACGGCCCAAACUCCUACGGGAGGCAGCAGUGGGGAAUCUUGCGCAAUGGGCGAAAGCCUGACGCAGCCAUGCCGCGUGGAUGAUGAAGGUCUUAGGAUUGUAAAAUCCUUUCACCGGUGAAGAUAAUGACUGUAGCCGGAGAGGAAGCCCCGGCUAACUUCGUGCCAGCCGCCGCGGUAACAC